rnacentral:rRNA from 1 species
GAUGAACGCUGGCGGCGUGCUUAACACAUGCAAGUCGAACGGGAAAUAUUUCAUUGAGACUUCGGUGGAUUUGAUCUAUUUCUAGUGGCGGACGGGUGAGUAACGCGUGGGUAACCUGCCUUAUACAGGGGGAUAACAGUCAGAAAUGGCUGCUAAUACCGCAUAAGCGCACAGAGCUGCAUGGCUCAGUGUGAAAAACUCCGGUGGUAUAAGAUGGACCCGCGUUGGAUUAGCUUGUUGGUGGGGUAACGGCCCACCAAGGCGACGAUCCAUAGCCGGCCUGGGAGGGUGAACGGCCACAUUGGGACUGAGACACGGCCCAGACUCCUACGGGAGGCAGCAGUGGGGAAUAUUGCACAAUGGGGGAAACCCUGAUGCAGCGACGCCGCGUGAAGGAAGAAGUAUCUCGGUAUGUAAACUUCUAUCAGCAGGGAAGAUAGUGACGGUACCUGACUAAGAAGCCCCGGCUAACUACGUGCCAGCCGCCGCAGUAAUAC